rnacentral:rRNA from 1 species
UGACCUCAGCUCAAGCAAGAAUACCCGCUGAACUUAAGCAUAUCAAUAAGCGGAGGAAAAGAAACUAACAAGGAUUCCCCUAGUAACGGCGAGUGAAGAGGGAAAAGCUCAAAUUUUAAAUCUACCUGGUUCCCAGGUCGAAUUGUAUUUUGAAGAAGCGAUAUCUGUGUUGGGGUCUGGUUCAAGUUCUUUGGAACAAGACAUCAUGGAGGGUGAGAAUCCCGUGCAUGAUCAGACCAAGAUACUUAAUAUUCGUUUUCUAAGAGUCAAGUUGUUUGGGAAUGCAGCUCAAAUUGGGUGGUAGACUUCACCUAAGGCUAAAUAUCAGCGAGAGACCGAUAGCGAACAAGUACUGUGAAGGAAAGAUGAAAAGCACUUUGAAAAGAGAGUUAAAUAGUAUGUGAAAUUGUUGAAAGGGAAACGAUUGAAGUCAGUCAUGCUUGUGAAAAUUCAGUUUGACGGGUUUUGAGUUUAGGAGUAAGAGGUAGGGUCAAACCGUCUCUCUUUUAAACUUGGAAUUUGUCGGAUGCACUUUUUCUUUGGCAAGUCAGCGUCGAUUUCGGGGGUUGUAAAAUACAUGGGGAAAAGUAGCUCUGCUUCGGGAGAGUGUUAUAGACCCUAGGAGAUGCAGCCUGCGGGAUCGAGGAUUGCAGCAAAUGCCUUUGGCUUGUCGCCUGAUCUCUGGACGUUACCUCAUUUGUGACAACAUUCUUAUCGCCGAUGAGUACUAAUGGCUAUUGGGUUAGAACGAUCAAAAAUUUGCUAAGGAUGCUGGCGUAAUGGCUUUAGACGACCCGUCUUGAAACACGGACCAAGGAG